CCUACGGGCGGCAGCAGUGAGGAAUAUUGGUCAAUGGACGCAAGUCUGAACCAGCCAUGCCGCGUGCAGGAAGACGGCUCUAUGAGUUGUAAACUGCUUUUGUAUGAGGGUAAACGCAGAUACGCGUAUCUGUCUGAAAGUAUCGUACGAAUAAGGAUCGGCUAACUCCGUGCCAGCAGCCGCGGUAAUACGGAGGAUUCAAGCGUUAUCCGGAUUUAUUGGGUUUAAAGGGUGCGUAGGCGGUCGGAUAAGUUAGAGGUGAAAGCUCGAGGCUCAACUUCGGAAUUGCAUCUGAUACUGUUAGGCUAGAGAAUAGUAGCGGUAGGCGGAAUGUAUGGUGUAGCGGUGAAAUGCUUAGAGAUCAUACAGAACACCGAUUGCGAAGGCAGCUUACCAGGCUACUUCUGACGUUGAGGCACGAAAGCGUGGGGAGCAAACAGGAUUAGAUACCCUUGUAGUC
rnacentral:rRNA from 1 species